AACCUUUGAAUUAUUUCUCAAGGUUGACCUCGGAUCAGGUAGGGAUACCCGCUGAACUUAAGCAUAUCAAUA
rnacentral:rRNA from 1 species